rnacentral:rRNA from 1 species
CGCGGCCUAUCAGCUUGUUGGUGAGGUAACGGCACACCAAGGCAUCGACGGGUAGCUGGUCUGAGAGGACGAUCAGCCACACUGGGACUGAGACACGGCCCAGACUCCUACGGGAGGCAGCAGUGGGGAAUCUUGCACAAUGGGCGAAAGCCUGAUGCAGCGACGCCGCGUGGGGGAUGAAGGCCCUAGGGUCGUAAACCCCUUUCAGUAGGGACGAAAAUGACGGUACCUACAGAAGAAGCUCCGGCCAACUACGUGCCAGCAGCCGCGGUAAGACGUAGGGGGCGAGCGUUGUCCGGAAUCAUUGGGCGUAAAGAGCUCGUAGGCGGUUCCGUAAGUCGGAUGUGAAAACUCAGGGCUCAACUCUGAGACGCCAUCCAAUACUGCGGUGACUUGAAUCCAGUAGGGGAGUGUGGAAUUCCUGGUGUAGCGGUGAAAUGCGCAGAUAUCAGGAGGAACACCUAUGGCGAAGGCAGCACUCUGGGCUGGUAUUGACGCUGAGGAGCGAAAGCAUGGGUAGCAAACAGGAUUAGAUACCCUGGUAGUCCAUGCCGUAAACGGUGGGCACUAGGUGUGGGGACUUUCAACGGUUUCCGUGCCGAAGCUAACGCAUUAAGUGCCCCGCCUGGGGAGUACGG